AGCGAACGCUGGCGGCAGGCCUAACACAUGCAAGUCGAGCGCCCCGCAAGGGGAGCGGCAGACGGGAGAGUAACACGUGGGAACGUACCCUUUGGUUCGGAACAACCCAGGGAAACUUGGGCUAAUACCGGAUAAGCCCUUACGGGGAAAGAUUCAUCGCCGAAGGAUCGGCCCGCGUCUGAUUAGCUAGUUGGUGGGGUAACGGCCCACCAAGGCGACGAUCAGUAGCUGGUCUGAGAGGAUGAUCAGCCUCACUGGGACUGAGACACGGCCCAGACUGCUACGGGAGGCAGCAGUGGGGAAUAUUGGACAAUGGGCGCAAGCCUGAUCCAGCCAUGCCGCGUGGGUGAUGAAGGCCCUAGGGUUGUAAAGCCCUUUCGGCGGGGAAGAUAAUGACGGUACCCGGAGAAGAAGCCCCGGCUAACUUCGUGCCAGCCGCCGCGGUAA
rnacentral:rRNA from 1 species